UUAAAUUGAAGAGUUUGAUCAUGGCUCAGAUUGAACGCUGGCGGCAGGCCUAACACAUGCAAGUCGAACGGUAACAGGAAGCAGCUUGCUGCUUCGCUGACGAGUGGCGGACGGGUGAGUAAUGUCUGGGAAACUGCCUGAUGGAGGGGGAUAACUACUGGAAACGGUGGCUAAUACCGCAUAACGUCGCAAGACCAAAGAGGGGGACCUUCGGGCCUCUUGCCAUCAGAUGUGCCCAGAUGGGAUUAGCUAGUUGGUGAGGUAACGGCUCACCAAGGCGACGAUCCCUAGCUGGUCUGAGAGGAUGACCAGCCACACUGGAACUGAGACACGGUCCAGACUCCUACGGGAGGCAGCAGUGGGGAAUAUUGCACAAUGGGCGCAAGCCUGAUGCAGCCAUGCCGCGUGUAUGAAGAAGGCCUUCGGGUUGUAAAGUACUUUCAGCGGGGAGGAAGGUGUUGCGGUUAAUAACCGCAGCAAUUGACGUUACCCGCAGAAGAAGCACCGGCUAACUCCGUGCCAGCAGCCGCGGUAAUACGGAGGGUGCAAGCGUUAAUCGGAAUUACUGGGCGUAAAGCGCACGCAGGCGGUCUGUCAAGUCGGAUGUGAAAUCCCCGGGCUCAACCUGGGAACUGCAUUCGAAACUGGCAGGCUUGAGUCUUGUAGAGGGGGGUAGAAUUCCAGGUGUAGCGGUGAAAUGCGUAGAGAUCUGGAGGAAUACCGGUGGCGAAGGCGGCCCCCUGGACAAAGACUGACGCUCAGGUGCGAAAGCGUGGGGAGCAAACAGGAUUAGAUACCCUGGUAGUCCACGCCGUAAACGAUGUCUACUUGGAGGUUGUGCCCUUGAGGCGUGGCUUCCGGAGCUAACGCGUUAAGUAGACCGCCUGGGGAGUACGGCCGCAAGGUUAAAACUCAAAUGAAUUGACGGGGGCCCGCACAAGCGGUGGAGCAUGUGGUUUAAUUCGAUGCAACGCGAAGAACCUUACCUGGUCUUGACAUCCACAGAACUUUCCAGAGAUGGACUGGUGCCUUCGGGAACUGUGAGACAGGUGCUGCAUGGCUGUCGUCAGCUCGUGUUGUGAAAUGUUGGGUUAAGUCCCGCAACGAGCGCAACCCUUAUCCUUUGUUGCCAGCGAUUAGGUCGGGAACUCAAAGGAGACUGCCAGUGAUAAACUGGAGGAAGGUGGGGAUGACGUCAAGUCAUCAUGGCCCUUACGACCAGGGCUACACACGUGCUACAAUGGCGCAUACAAAGAGAAGCGACCUCGCGAGAGCAAGCGGACCUCAUAAAGUGCGUCGUAGUCCGGAUUGGAGUCUGCAACUCGACUCCAUGAAGUCGGAAUCGCUAGUAAUCGUGGAUCAGAAUGCCACGGUGAAUACGUUCCCGGGCCUUGUACACACCGCCCGUCACACCAUGGGAGUGGGUUGCAAAAGAAGUAGGUAGCUUAACCUUCGGGAGGGCGCUUACCACUUUGUGAUUCAUGACUGGGGUGAAGUCGUAACAAGGUAACCGUAGGGGAACCUGCGGUUGGAUCACCUCCUUACCUUAAAGAAGC
rnacentral:rRNA from 1 species